rnacentral:rRNA from 1 species
UACGUAGGUCCCGAGCGUUGUCCGGAUUUAUUGGGCGUAAAGCGAGCGCAGGUGGUUUAUUAAGUCUGGUGUAAAAGGCAGUGGCUCAACCAUUGUAUGCAUUGGAAACUGGUAGACUUGAGUGCAGGAGAGGAGAGUGAAAUUCCAUGUGUAGCGGUGAAACGCGUAGAUAUAUGGAGGAACACCGGUGGCGAAAGCGGCUCUCUGGCCUGUAACUGACACUGAGGCUCGAAAGCGUGGGGAGCAAACAGG